CAUGGAGUUUGAUCCUGGCUCAGGAUGAACGCUAGCGGCAGGCUUAACACAUGCAAGUCGAGGGGUAUAGUUCUUCGGAGCUAGAGACCGGCGCACGGGUGCGUAACGCGUAUGCAAUCUACCUUUCACAAAGGGAUAGCCCAGAGAAAUUUGGAUUAAUACCUUAUAGUAUAACGACUUCGCAUGGAGAUGUUAUUAAAGAUUUAUCGGUGAAAGAUGAGCAUGCGUCCCAUUAGCUAGUUGGUAAGGUAACGGCUUACCAAGGCUACGAUGGGGUAGGGGUCCUGAGAGGGAGAUCCCCCACACUGGUACUGAGACACGGACCAGACUCCGUAC
rnacentral:rRNA from 1 species